rnacentral:tRNA from 1 species
ACCUGGGUAGCUCAGUCAGUAGAGCAUGUGACUCUUAAUCUCAGGGUUGUAAGUUCACACCCCACACUGGGCA